AGUGAACGCUGGCGGUAGGCCUAACACAUGCAAGUCGAACGGCAGCACAGUAAGAGCUUGCUCUUACGGGUGGCGAGUGGCGGACGGGUGAGGAAUACAUCGGAAUCUACUUUUUCGUGGGGGAUAACGUAGGGAAACUUACGCUAAUACCGCAUACGACCUACGGGUGAAAGCAGGGGAUCUUCGGACCUUGCGCGAUUGAAUGAGCCGAUGUCGGAUUAGCUAGUUGGCGGGGUAAAGGCCCACCAAGGCGACGAUCCGUAGCUGGUCUGAGAGGAUGAUCAGCCACGCUGGAACUGAGACGCGGUCCAGACUCCUACGGGAGGCAGCAGUGGGGAAUAUUGGACAAUGGGCGCAAGCCUGAUCCAGCCAUACCGCGUGGGUGAAGAAGGCCUUCGGGUUGUAAAGCCCUUUUGUUGGGAAAGAAAAGCAGCAGGUUAAUACCCCGCUGUUCUGACGGUACCCAAAGAAUAAGCACCGGCUAACUUCGUG
rnacentral:rRNA from 1 species